CUCUCCAGUCUCUACACAACAAACCCAACACAUUUCUGCAAAGGCAAAGGCCAACUCAUUCCAUUCUCUGUUUCAGUUCCACCAUGACACAUUCCAUUCUAUUGCUUGGACUUCUGGUAGUAGCAGCACACUUUAGUGGUUCUUAAGCUGAAAAUGCCUUCACGCAUUAUUGGGAAGAGCAUAUUAGUCUUCCACACCCUCCACACUGGUUAGCUGCAAAGGCUUCUUCACUAACCCAACAUCAAGAGGCGGUGUAUAUGAAACUUAUAGAGAAAAAUCAAUUGUCUUCCCACUUGCGUUUGUUCUGUAAGCAAGCUAAUGUUGCUUGUUCUACAAACGCAUUGGUGAAUAACACAACUGGUAGCACAACCUUGCCACCAAUAGCCCAAUGGAAUGAAGCCAAACUGAAAUAUCAUUAUCCAAAUGAAAUACCCCUUUCAGUUGCUAGACAAGGGGGAUUGCCAUAUUUUCGGAAGUCCAUGGUGAAACAGGGAAGUGUCAUACUUGUCCCUGAUUUAAGGGAUACGAUGUCAUAUAAAUCAUUCUUGCCACGAUCUCUGGCAACAAAAAUCCCAUUUUCCUUUGCCCAUUUCAUGGGAUUGAAGAAGUUUUUUUGGUGUAGAAGAUGAAUCAAAUAUGGAGGAAUGUAUUCAAGGCACUCUCAAGAUAUGUGAGGAGAACCCCAUUCGUGGUGAGAAGAGCACUUGUGUAACUUCUGCAGAGGAUCUUAUCGAUUUUGUUGUCAAAGAAUUAGGGCACUAUCUACGCAUAUGGAGUACUGAGAGCAUCGAAGGAUCUUAUGAGAAUGUCACAAUUGGAGCUGUAAAACUUGUAUAUGGAAAUCUCUUUGAAUCACCGGCCUUAUGUCAUAGCCAACCAUUCAUAUUUCAAGUAUAUUAUUGUCAUGUCUUACAUAAAGUAAAAGUUUAUGUAGUUGAUAUACAUGCUCGGAAUAAAGUGAAUCAUGCGAUCAUGGCUUGCCACUAUGACACAUCAACUUGGAAUCCAAAUCAUCUUGCUUUCAAGUUGCUAGGUUUUGGCCCAGGACAAAUUGAAGUCUGCCAUUGGAUAAAUGAGAAUGGAAUAGUCUGGGCAAAAACUCUAGGUUGAGAAGAAAUUGAAGAUUUGAAUAUCUUCUAGUCUCUUAUUUAUGUUACAUAUAAAUGCUUAUGCAUAUCAAAGAUAAAUAAUGACCUAUUAUGGCUUACUUAUUAUGUCUUUCAAUCAAGUUUCAAUAUAAUUUUGUUAUUCAA